UAAAUUACAGUCGCGGGUGGCGGACGUUCGGCGGAAAAACUCUAACUAACUUUAACUAACUUUAACUGAAAAUAAAACCAGAGAAAAGCGAAGAACGUGUGAUAAGAACAGCAGAAACAACAACAACAACAGCACCAACAAAGUUGACUUUUGAUUUUCGAGCGCGUGUGUUUGGAUUUAUUUCUUUGCCAUUUAUAAUAUUUGAGCAAAACAAAACCCAAGCAUACCAACAACAACUAAAACGUGGUUCAACUAAUUCGUUCAUUUUUGUUUUCACUUUUUUUUACUGUGCGUACGAGUGUGUGUGUUUGUUUGUGUAUGCGUGUAUUAGUUGGUUUGCUUUUUAAUUAGUUCGACUCUUGUUUUGAUUUUUGUGAUUCGCUCAUUUUUUUCGAACGAGAUCUUCUACAGAACAAAACAAAGAAGCAAGAAAACAAGCAUGUGGCAGCCAUGAGGCGGCAGCGCUCCACUCGCCGCCAGCUGCUAUUAUGUCCGGCCACUUGUUGCAGGCAUUCAUGAUGCAACUGAAACUGCAGCGACCGGCGGCACAGCGAACUCGAUUCCAGUCACAACUGGGCUGCGGCCACGAAAAACACUCAUACGCCAUGUGGGCGCGAGGCGAUCGGUGGAUGUUGCAAGAACGGCAGCCAACAACAACAGCAGCCACGGGCGCCACACUGGCCCACGGCCAAGGCUAGGGCUAAGGCUAGUGCCACAGCCACACAGCACCAACAACACCACCACCACCACCACCACUACCAACACCAACACCCCAAACCACCCACACCAGC
rnacentral:misc_RNA from 1 species